GCAGUCAGUCCAGACUCAGGGUGGCUCAGGUCAUGGUGGUAGAGCCAGCUAUAAUGAGAUUUAGACAUGCAAGAAAAAGACAGAGAAAGGGAUCCAGACUCCGUAUCAGAAACAAGCUAAAGGGAACGCUAGAAAACCUUCAUGAAAUCAAAGAGUGUAUACUAAAAGAAGUUUACCAGCAUUCCAAGACGAUGUCAUCAGGGAGACAGCAUGGUCAAGUUACCAUUGAAGGAGUCCUUCCAGUCCAUUUCCCAAAACUAGGAGUUGAAAGAAAUUGCUGGUAAUGAGUUUGGCUCACAAGCCAAAGCCAGGUCUACUCAGACUUCCUUGGCCUUACCCCAUCCCUGCCCAUCCACCCCAUCAUGCCUUGUGUCGCCACAGGGCUCCUCUGUAUAUUUUUUCCACAACCAACUCUUCCCUCAAGUCCUUUCUUGGAUCCCUGGGGUAAGGAAAGGACUGGGAAGCCCCACCAGGACCUGGGGUCUGACAGCAGCUCCACUCCUCCUCCCUAGAUCCUGCAAGCAGCCUGCCCUCCAGCACAGCUCUCAUCCUGCACAGCUCUCAUCCUGCACAGCUUUCCUGAGUCCCAACCAGCCCCAGCACAAUGAGCACUUCACAGUUUCCAUGGAACAGAAGCCAAGCUGGGGGCCCAGCAUGGUCCGAACAAAGUAUCUGAGCCACAGAGCAGAAGGCGGCCAGUGGCAGUUGUUGUCACUGUGUGUCCAGGACUGACAAGAGCCCCAUGGCACGGCAAUGACUCACCAAAGCAUCUGAGGCCAGCUUGGGAUGAUUUUUUUUCACAAUCAGACAAGAGUCUCACUGCAAUAACCUCAAUUAAUUGUGCAGAACACGGCUAAGAAGGCAUCAGGAUUGUUCCCCCAUGCGUGUGGCCUGGGCCGGCCUGGCUUCUCUGGGCUUCUGCAAGGAGAGACAGAGAGGCUAUGGCGUGUAGGUGGAGGGGGUUCCAGGCCACAAAGCUGUGUGAUUUUGAAAGCCCUUGUUAGCCUCUAAAUCCUUCUCCAACAAGCUUCUGUCAACUAAAAUCACUUCUGUAGUGAUUUAGAGACUUGCCCAUUAGAAUCCUUAACACAGUCAGUCCUUAGCUGCCUGCAUGAGUGGCUUGCUGCCUUCUCCUUGGAGAGCCCAUUAGAACAGGUGGAUGGGUUUGUUUUGAGGAAGAGGUAGCAAUGAGGAAGGUGUUUUCUGAGUGUACAGAUCUAGAAGGAGACCCUAAGUGAAAAAGCAGCCACUGCAGGGCUCUAGGGGCAGCAAGCAAGAGAGGAAAACAAAAAGAGGGAGUGUCUAAAGCAGGUAAAUGGGUGUGGAGACACAGGUUCCCCCAUCUUUUGUCCUGUGCCAGCCCUGGGCUUGGGGUUUCUGCCUGUCUUCCAGCACCUGUCUUGGUGGUAUGGUAUAAGGGGAGGAAGGGACUUCUUGUUUGAUUGGCAUGUGAGUCAGAUUCAGGACAGUAGUACUCAGCUGAGAUCCACCAAAUCCCUGUUCAGUACUCAGGGUGAUAGUUGGUAUAGCUUGGUUAUGUGGAAGGAAAUUUAAUAUAAAAUCCAUAUGGGUUACCAUUCUGAAAGGUCAACUCAUUUUCACAUGUUGAGAUCUGAAGCUUUUGCAUAAGUGCUGUGCACUCCACCCUGUUCGUGUCUCCUUUGCCAUUCAUCAGAACUUACCUGUCCCAUGUCCUAGAUCUACUGAAAGUACCCUUCUUCAGGGAGUGGAAGAUGGAGAGUGGUCGGUGUGAUACAGAAGCCAAAAUUAUUGAACAUCACCCGGUACCAAUGUGUUGUCACAUGCUCAUUGUAACAUGUUCCUGACUCUAGAGGUCAUAUUAUUUUUACUUAACCUAGUAGAGUGAGAAAGGGACUUGGAUUACAGUGUUUGGCAAUGUGGAAUUCAUUUCACCCACAAAUAAGGAAGGCUCCCAAAGUAAUUAUAACUCAUUUUUAUCCUUCAAGAAGUCCCAGGGAUCCCAGGCUACUCCAGGCAAGGUACAUUAGGAGUUAUGGCCACAUCUUCUCAACAGGAUUUCAGAAAAAGCACUUUUAUUCGAUAUAGUCAGCUUAUAUUUCUUCCAUGAGCUUCUCCUCUUAUUUGUCUCUGAGAAGUUAAAAACACAGUACUCCCUUUGAGGAAGCAAUCUCAAUACUCAUAUUCUACAACACAUAAUUUGGUAAAGGGGACCUUUCAGGAAACAUCUCAAGGGACUUCAGUAAUGUCCAGAUGUCUUCCUUAUGCUUUGCAUGUUGUGCUAAAUCAUGUCAGAAAUCGGGCUUGCUGUAUCCGGCCACUGCACUCCAGCCUGGGCUACAGAGCGAGACUCCGUCUCAAAAAAAAAUAAAAAAUAAAAAAAUAAA
ensembl:lncRNA